rnacentral:tRNA from 1 species
GCCGCCUUAGCUCAAUCGGUAGAGCGGGGUCCUUGUAAGACUCAGGUCGUCGGUUCGAUUCCGACAGGCGGCUCCA